rnacentral:rRNA from 1 species
GACGAACGCUGGCGGCGUGCCUAAUACAUGCAAGUAGAACGCUGAAGGAGGAGCUUGCUUCUCUGGAUGAGUUGCGGACGGGUGAGUAACGCGUAGGUAACCUGCCUGGUAGCGGGGGAUAACUAUUGGAAACGAUAGCUAAUACCGCAUAACAGUAGAUAUCGCAUGAUAUCUACUUGAAAGGUGCAAUUGCAUCACUACCAGAUGGACCUGCGUUGUAUUAGCUAGUUGGUGAGGUAACGGCUCACCAAGGCGACGAUACAUAGCCGACCUGAGAGGGUGAUCGGCCACACUGGGACUGAGACACGGCCCAGACUCCUACGGGAGGCAGCAGUAGGGAAUCUUCGGCAAUGGACGGAAGUCUGACCGAGCAACGCCGCGUGAGUGAAGAAGGUUUUCGGAUCGUAAAGCUCUGUUGUAAGAGAAGAACGAGUGUGAGAGUGGAAAGUUCACACUGUGACGGUAUCUUACCAGAAAGGGACGGCUAACUACGUG